GCUGAAUGAUUUGACAGCCGAACGCUGCAGAUAUGGAAACGUCUGGCAAAAUGAACCAUUAACCCAAACCUGGGUUGAAUCAUGUUUAGCAGUCAGCAGGUUCUUAAAAACUUCAGUCAAGUGCUGAAUCACAGGAAGCUUUAAAAUUAAGUAAAUUAAGUGAAAUAAUGUUUUCGCAUAUCCUAUUUUGCUCUCGUUUGAAACAUACACACACACACACAGAGGUGAGAGUGAAGCUGGGGUCUGAGUAGAGGGUCAGGCCAUUUAUCCGGCAACCUGCAGCAUUUUGGGGGGUUAGGGGCCUUGCUGAAGAGCCCAAUGGACAUGUGACUAUUCUAUCAAGGAUGGGAUUUGAACUGGCGACCUUCUGAUGACAGAAGUCACACACCAUCACCCCAGUUUGAAGGACGUGUGGUUCACAACUGCUGGAAGGCCCGCCCACCAUGCAGAAGCUAAGACUGAUGGGAGAUGGGAGACCCCAGCGGACAAAGACCCCGACCCCCUCUCUCCCGCGGCUCGAAGACCCCCCCACGCGAUCCUGACUACUCUGGAUCGGAUACGCACAGCGGGCGACGAGAGCACCUAGAACAGGAUUUUUGUGCAGUGUGUGGAGGAUACGGUGCCCUGACAUCCCGCUGAACCUACCCCUCCCCCCAAAGUAACCGGGGAGCGCCAUCAUAAUUAACACCCGCUUAAUUACGGACUUGGAUGACACAGCCGUGCCUCCGACGUCGGAAUCCGGGGCUCCGUCUCCGCUGUAGGUCUGGCACCAAACCAGCGACCAUCCAAACGGAUCCAAGCUAAACUUGCCACGCGCUGCAAACCAGAAACAGUCCUCCGCGUGCCGAGAUAUCUGCGCUUAGAACGCAUGUCGUGAAUUUUCUGGGGUUCCCCACUGCCAACAAUAAGAAGAUGCGGGUCAAAAAAACAAAUCUGCUUGGCAUCUGCUAAAAACUAUGAAAAUGACAAUGUCGAUCCAAAGCAUAUAUACGACCCUAUUUGCUUUAUUUUUGUUAUGCAAAUGUUCUGAAUGGAAUUGCUUGUUUUGAAAGUGCUGCUAAAAACAAAACUGAGCUUUCAGAAGACAACGACCCUGAAAAGGAUUUAAGGCUAUUCUGCAACAAUAUUUCACAACACGGCUGAAAACUUUUUUUUUUCCUGGAGAAAUACCUUAUAAUUACUGAGCUGUGUUUUAAAUUAAAUUUAAAAUAUUGAAUCAAUUUAAGCAAAAAGUUGCUUGUUUGAGUGCAGAAAGCCCAAUUUC